UCAAGCGAACAAGUGCAUGUGGUGGAUGCCUUGGCGAUCACAGGCGAUGAAGGACGCGGUAGCCUGCGAAAAGCUGUGGGGAGCUGGCAAACAAGCUUUGAUCCACAGAUAUCCGAAUGGGGAAACCCACUCCGUAUGGAGUAUCCAUGACUGAAUACAUAGGUCAUGUGAAGCGAACGCGGCGAACUGAAACAUCUAAGUAGCCGCAGGAAAAGAAAUCAACCGAGAUUCCCAAAGUAGUGGCGAGCGAAAUGGGACCAGCCUGUACUCUUUAUCUGAACUGUUAGCCAAACGCUCUGGAAAGUGCGGCCAUAGUGGGUGAUAGCCCCGUAGGCGAAAACAGAUUGGAAGAACUAGGUGUACGACAAGUAGGGCGGGACACGUGAAAUCCUGUCUGAAGAUGGGGGGGACCAUCCUCCAAGGCUAAAUACUCGUGAUCGACCGAUAGUGAACCAGUACCGUGAGGGAAAGGCGAAAAGAACCCCGGGAGGGGAGUGAAACAGAUCCUGAAACCGCAUGCAUACAAACAGUCGGAGCCUCGCAAGGGGUGACGGCGUACCUUUUGUAUAAUGGGUCAGCGACUUACAUUCAGUGGCAAGCUUAACCGAAUAGGGCAGGCGUAGCGAAAGCGAGUCCGAACAGGGCGUCCAGUCGCUGGGUGUAGACCCGAAACCAGGUGAUCUAUCCAUGGCCAGGUUGAAGGCACGGUAACACGUGCUGGAGGACCGAACCCACUAACGUUGAAAAGUUAGGGGAUGAGCUGUGGAUAGGGGUGAAAGGCUAAACAAACCUGGAAAUAGCUGGUUCUCUCCGAAAACUAUUUAGGUAGUGCCUCGUGUAUCACCUUCGGGGGUAGAGCACUGUCAUGGUUGAGGGGUCCAUUGCGGAUUACCUCGCCAUAGCAAACUCCGAAUACCGAAGAGUGCAAUCACGGGAGACAGACAUCGGGUGCUAACGUCCGGUGUCAAGAGGGAAACAACCCAGACCGCCAGCUAAGGUCCCCAAAUAUGGCUAAGUGGGAAACGAAGUGGGAAGGCUAAAACAGUCAGGAGGUUGGCUUAGAAGCAGCCACCCUUUAAAGAAAGCGUAAUAGCUCACUGAUCGAGUCGUCCUGCGCGGAAGAUGUAACGGGGCUAAGCCAUAUACCGAAGCUGCGGAUGCACAGUAAUGUGCAUGGUAGGAGAGCGUUCCGUAAGCCUGCGAAGGUGCGUUGAAAAGCGUGCUGGAGGUAUCGGAAGUGCGAAUGCUGACAUGAGUAGCGAUAAAGGGGGUGAAAGGCCCCCUCGCCGUAAGCCCAAGGUUUCCUACGCAACGUUCAUCGGCGUAGGGUGAGUCGGCCCCUAAGGCGAGGCAGAAAUGCGUAGCUGAUGGGAAGCAGGUCAAUAUUCCUGCACCGGCGUGAAAUGCGAUGGGGGGACGGAUCGCGGAAGGUUGUCCGGGUGUUGGAAGUCCCGGUCGCUGCAUUGGAGAGGGUAGCCUGGCAAAUCCGGCUACAGGACUCAAGGGUGUGGCGCGAGCUUCUUCGGAAGCGAAGCAACUGGAAGGGGUUCCAGGAAAAGCCUCUAAGCUUCAGUUUCACGUUGACCGUACCGCAAACCGACACAGGUGGGCGAGAUGAGUAUUCUAAGGCGCUUGAGAGAACUCGGGAGAAGGAACUCGGCAAAUUGGUACCGUAACUUCGGGAUAAGGUACGCCCUGGUAGCUUGAUGCGCCUGCGCGCAGAGGGUGAAGGGGUUGCAAUAAACUGGUGGCUGCGACUGUUUAAUAAAAACACAGCACUCUGCAAACACGAAAGUGGACGUAUAGGGUGUGACGCCUGCCCGGUGCCGGAAGAUUAAAUGAUGGGGUGCAAGCUCUUGAUUGAAGUCCCGGUAAACGGCGGCCGUAACUAUAACGGUCCUAAGGUAGCGAAAUUCCUUGUCGGGUAAGUUCCGACCUGCACGAAUGGCGUAACGAUGGCCACACUGUCUCCUCCCGAGACUCAGCGAAGUUGAAGUGUUUGUGAUGAUGCAAUCUCCCCGCGGCUAGACGGAAAGACCCCAUGAACCUUUACUGUAGCUUUGCAUUGGACUUUGAACCGGUUUGUGUAGGAUAGGUGGGAGGCUGUGAAGCGGGAACGCUAGUUUCCGUGGAGCCGUCCUUGAAAUACCACCCUGAUCUGUUUGAGGUUCUAACCUUGGCCCGUGAUCCGGGUCGGGGACAGUGCAUGGUAGGCAGUUUGACUGGGGCGGUCUCCUCCCAAAGGGUAACGGAGGAGUACGAAGGUACGCUAGGUACGGUCGGAAAUCGUGCUGAUAGUGCAAUGGCAUAAGCGUGCUUGACUGUGAGACUCACAAGUCGAACAGGUGCGAAAGCAGGUCAUAGUGAUCCGGUGGUUCUGUAUGGAAGGGCCAUCGCUCAACGGAUAAAAGGUACUCUGGGGAUAACAGGCUGAUACCGCCCAAGAGUUCAUAUCGACGGCGGUGUUUGGCACCUCGAUGUCGGCUCAUCUCAUCCUGGGGCUGUAGCCGGUCCCAAGGGUAUGGCUGUUCGCCAUUUAAAGAGGUACGUGAGCUGGGUUUAAAACGUCGUGAGACAGUUUGGUCCCUAUCUGCCGUGGGCGCUGGAAGUUUGAGGGGGCCUGCUCCUAGUACGAGAGGACCGGAGUGGACGAACCUCUGGUGUACCGGUUGUGACGCCAGUCGCAUCGCCGGGUAGCUAUGUUCGGAAGAGAUAACCGCUGAAAGCAUCUAAGCGGGAAACUCGCCUCAAGAUGAGACUUCCCCGGGGACUUGAUCCCCUUGAAGGGUCGUUCGAGACCAGGACGUUGAUAGGUCAGGUGUGGAAGCGCAGUAAUGCGUUAAGCUAACUGAUACUAAUUGCCCGUAAGGCUUGAUCCU
rnacentral:rRNA from 1 species